rnacentral:lncRNA from 1 species
GUAGGAGCUGUGCCAACUGAUAAAAGAAGAACAUCUACAAGAUGAGAUUUUUUUUUUCAACAUACAAGUCCUGCCCAAGCAUUUCCUUCCAAAAACACAUUGCUAGUGUGUUGGAGCCAGGACAUGGGCAAGUCGUACAUGAUUUGUCUAAGAGUGAGACCAGGCUUAUCGUAUCCAAAUGCUGUUUUGUAACAUGAUUUUGCCAAAGAGUACAUUUGUGUUUGAUUUCAGCUUAUUUCCCUGCCACUGUAUGAGACCACUCCAAGUUCUUUGGCUUCAGUGACGUGACAGCUGCAACCUCAGCUCAUGGAACGUGCUUCCAAAACUAACUGAGAAUUGAUUCAUUUGGUAGGAGCUUCAGAACAGUUAGGUUGGAGAUCCCUGUAGCCUGGUGGAAAUCCCGUUGGCUUUCUCCAUUGGCUUUCUUCAGUGUUCUGCACAGUACUGGAACAUGUUGCUUUGGUGCACAGCAAACAAAACACAUGGUGCAGCUGUGCUGCCGACCGUGCUGCAGGUGGC